AAAAUGACAAACCCUGGUUUCCGUGUCUAACGUUUAACCGUCCGUCUUAUUUAACAAAAUUAUGAAAAAAUUAAAAAGAUAAGUCACGCAUAAAGUAUUAAUCAUGUUUUAUCAUCUAACAACAAUGAAAAUACUAAUUAUAAAAAAAAUUCAUAUAAGACGGACAGUCAAACGUUGGCACGGAAACCUAAGGUUUGCCUUUUU
rfam:Oryza sativa Japonica Group DNA, chromosome 12, cultivar: Nipponbare, complete sequence.